CCUUGGGUCUGGCUGGCCGGUCCGCCUCACCGCGAGUACUGGUCCGGCUGGACCUUUCCUUCUGGGGAAUCUCAUGGCCUUCACUGGCUGUGGGGGGAACCAGACUUUACUGUGAAAAAAUUAGAGUGUUCAAAGCAGGCCUUUGCUCGAAUACAUUAGCAUGGAAUAAUAGAAUAGGACGUGCGGUUCUAUUUUGUUGGUUUCUAGGACCGCCGUAAUGAUUAAUAGGGAUAGUCGGGGGCGUCAGUAUUCACUGUCAAGGUGAAAUUCUUGGAUUUGCUGAAACUAACUACUGCGAAAGCAUUCGCCAAGGAUGUGUUUUCAUUAAUCAGGGAACGAAAGUUAGGGGAUCGAAGACGAUCAGAUACCGUCGUAGUCUUAACCAUAAACUAUGCCGACUAGGGAUCGGACGGUGUUUCUCUAUUAUGACCCGUUCGGCACCUUACGAGAAAUCAAAGUUUUUGGGUUCUGGGGGGAGUAUGUCGCAAGGCUGAAACUUAAAGAAAUUGGCGGAAGGGCACCACCAGGCGUGGAGCCCCUGCGGCUUAAUUUGACUCAACACGGGGAAACUCACCAGGUCCAGACAAAAUAAGGAUUGACAGAUUGAGAGCUCUUUCUUGAUCUUUUGGAUGGUGGUGCAUGGCCGUUCUUAGUUGGUGGAGUGAUUUGUCUGCUUAAUUGCGAUAACGAACGAGACUCGGCCCUUAAAUAGCCCGGUCCGCAUUUGCGGGCCGCUGGCUUCUUAGGGGGACUAUCGGCUCAAGCCGAUGGAAGUGCGCGGCAAUAACAGGUCUGUGAUGCCCUUAGAUGUUCUGGGCCGCACGCGCGUACACUGACAGGGCCAGCGAGUACAUCACCUUGGCCGAGAGGUUGGGUAAUCUUGUUAAACCCUGUCGUGCUGGGGAUAGAGCAUUGCAAUUAUUGCUCUUCAACGAGGAAUGCUAGUAG
rnacentral:rRNA from 1 species